GAUCCUGGCUCAGGAUGAACGCUGGCGGCGUGCCUAAUACAUGCAAGUAGAACGCUGAAGGAAGGAGCUUGCUCUUUCCGGAUGAGUUGCGAACGGGUGAGUAACGCGUAGGUAACCUGCCUGGUAGCGGGGGAUAACUAUUGGAAACGAUAGCUAAUACCGCAUAACAGUAGAUAUUGCAUGAUAUUUGCUUGAAAGGGGCAAUUGCUCCACUACCAGAUGGACCUGCGUUG
rnacentral:rRNA from 1 species